UCUGUAACCUUUUCUAAUACAUAUUCUAUUUUAUUUAGUGAAUUCUAAUAAUCAAAAGAUAAAACAGAGCCAUUCUGAACAGCAAUUUGGAAUUAUGCAAAUGAAGUGACUGAAAUGUUUAUACUCUUUAGUCAAGAGAUGCCACUGUUGGGCAUAUAUCGUAAGGAGGUCAAUGCUGUAUACAGCAAAAUAUAAACUUAUUACACUUUUGUAACAGUAAAGACUCAGAAAUAUAGUUAGUGCUCACCAUGGCUUGUACAUGUAGUGGAUUAUUACUGUGCUAUAAGAAAAAAUUAUUAUGAUGAAUAUAAAGAAGCAUAGGAAGAUAACAUAUGCACUCUGCAAUUGAAGCAAACAGAACCAGGGCUUGCUCUCUGAGAGGCUAUGGAGAAGUGAUUCAUUGGGAAAUGGAGGUGAUGUUUUAAAAGAUGAGUGUGCACAAAAACACUUGUGCGUGAAGGAGAUUUAAAUGGAAAAGUCGAUGCACAGAGACAGUCCCACUCUCUCGGUGUUGGAAGCCUGGGUCCAGUGGCACGAAAAGUCAUUACACCUGGAGACUUCCUCAGCUGCAUUGGAUGGCCGUGUUGUCCUUUGUGCUCCAACAUGCCCUAAGCACUCCACAGUGCUUUGCUGCGUCGCCCUCUCAGCCGUUGAACCUUCUUAUUGGUUUCUUCCAUCUGUUUGGCCGAAGCAGUCUUCACAUGCUGGGUGAGCAAAGCCCUGGUUCACCAGAGGUCGACGACCCGAUGGCUACCCUCACAAGGUUUAGCCGGCCUGUCGAAGCCGUUGCCCAGAUAAAGAAACCCAGGAUUACCAAGCAAGUCUCUCAGAUGAGAUUCAAAUUGAGGAUUUCCUGAUUCCAAGUCUGAUACUCUAUCCGUGGAACCACGUAGCUGCUUAAUACUUUUUAAUAAUGGCAAAGAAAUGGAAGAAAUGUUGGUACUCUUUCUUUUGGAUGAAUAAAUUGUAACAUGAAUGGAAUAUUAUGCUGGAAGAAAUGACAAAUAUGAAUAAUUCAGAGAAUCUUGGCAAGACAUGUGAACUGAAACAGAAUGAAGUAAGUAAAAUUAGAACAAUUUACUUGAUGGCUGACUUUUUUUUUGACCUUUGAUUUCAUUAGUUCAGUUUCUGAAUAUAGAAACUACCUCUAAAGUUUCCUGAGGGCACGGAGAGGUUAAGUAAUUGACUCAAUUUCAGCAGCCAGUAUCCAAAGCAGGACUCUGGACUGUGAGACCAUUUCUAUUAUGCUAUACUGUGUCUCAGUAUGAUUGCAAUGAUAGUGGCACUUUCAACCUCUGAUUAAUGUACUGUAUAAUUCUGAGUUCAAAGGUCUAAUCCUAAAGCAUGACAGCUAAUGUAUUAGAGAGGUGAUAAAGUAUGUAUUUUAAAAUAUGGACAUUUUAAUAAUUUUGAAUGAAUUUAUUUGUUUUGAAGGGAAUUUCUCUUAGGAUUGGAGAUGGGAUGGAGCAAGGCCACUGGAAAGUGUGAUUUUUCUUCUUUAGCAGCAUUAAUAAAUAUUUCAAAAACUAGUUAAAUAUUUUUUUAUAUUUUUAUUUUUUCCAAUUACAUGCAAAACCAUUUAAACAUGUUUUUAAAAAUUUUGAGCUUCAAAUUCUCUGCUCCAUUCCUUCCUUACCCUAUUCAUGAGAUGACAAGCAAUUUGAUAUAUAUUAUGCUUGGGUAGCCCUGCAAAACAUAUUAGCCAUGCUGUGAAAGAAAAUACAGAACAAAAGGCAAAAAAAAAAACCCAAAACUUGUUUUUUUAAAAAGAAUGCUUUUGAUCUGCAUUCAGAUUCCAUCAGUUCUUUAUUGGAAGGUGAAUAGCAUUUUUUCAUCAUAAGUCCUUUAGAAUUAUUUUAGAUGAUUGCAUUAUUGAGAAUAGCUAAGCCAUUUAUAAUCAAUCAUCCUACAAUGUUGUUGUUACUGUGUCCAAUGUUCUCCUGGUUCUGCUCACUUCACUUUGCAUCAGUUCAUAUAGAUCUUUCCAGGUUUUUCUGAAAGCAUCCUGAUCAUCAUUCUUUAUAGCCCAAUAGUACUGUCACAAGCAUAUAUCACUUAUUCAACCAUCCCCCAUUUGAUGGGCCAUUGCCUCAAUUUCUAAUUCUUUGUCACCAUAAAAAAGAGUUACUAUAAGUAUUUUUUUACAUAUAGGUCUCCACUCUCCCAGAACCCCCCACCUUUUUUAAUUUCUUUGGGAUAUUAUCCUAAUAGUGGUAUUGCUGGGUCAAAGGGUAUUCACAGUUUCAUAGCCUUUUGGGCAUAGUUCCAAACUGUUCUCUAGAAUGUUUGGAUCAGGUCAUAACUCCACCAAGUGCAUCAGUGUCCCAAUUUUCCUACAUUUCCUUUAAGAUGUCAUUUUCCUUUUAUUAAAUUUUAGCCAAUAUGUUAGGUAUGAGGAAGUACCUCAGAGUUGUUUUAAUUUGCAUUUAUUUCUCUAAUCAAGUGAUUUAGAGCAUUUUUUCUUAUACUAUAGAAAGCUCUGAUUUCUUCUGAAAACUGACUAUCCUUUGAUCAGUUAUCGAUUGGGAAAUUAAUUAUAUCCUUACAUAUUUGACUCAGUUCUUUUUAUAUUUGAGAAAUGAGGCCUUUAUCAGAGAAACCUGCUGUAAAAAAAUAUCAUUCCCCACCACCCCUGCCCCAGUUUUCUGCUUUCCUUUUACUUUUGGCUACAUUGGACUUGUUUGUGCAAACUCUUUUAAUAUAAUCAAAGUAAUGCUCUCUCUCUUGUUUUGUCAUAAAUUCUUCCCUUAUACAUAGAUCUGACAGGUAAGAUUUCCAUGCUUCCCCUCAUUUACUUAUAUCAUUCUUCAUGUCUAAAUUGAUAUCAUUUUUUAUGUUUAUACAUAUCCAUGUUGAUCUUUUCUUGGUAUUGACAUGUUGGUCAUGUUUUUGCCAAACUGUUCUCUAGUUUUCCCAGCAGUUUUAAAAAAUCAAAUAUUGAAUUCUUGUUCCAAAAGCCUGGAUCUUUGUGCUUAUCAAAUACAAAUUUUUUUCUUUUUUUUUUAAACCCUUACCUUCCGUCUUGGAGUCAAUAUUGACUCCAAGGCAGAAGAGUGGUAAGGGUUAGGCAAUGGGGGUCAAGUGACUUGCCCAGCAUCAUAGGGCUGGGAAGUGUCUGAGGCCAGAUUUGAACCUAGGACCUCCCAUCUCUAGGCCUGGCUCUCAAUCCACAGAACUACCCAGCUGACCCCUUCAAAUACAAAUUUCUAUGGUCAUUUAAUACUGUGUAUUGUCUAGCUAAUUUAUUUUACUGAUCCACCACUCUAUUUAUUAGCCAGUCCCAGAUUGCUUUGAUUAUACUUUGUAAAACAAUUUAAGAUUUGAUAUGGCUAGGAUCCCUUCCUUUAAUUAUAUAUAUAUGUAUAUGUAUAUACAUAUAUAUAUACAUAUACAUAUUCAAUUGAUUCUCUUGCCACUUUCAAACUUUUGUUCUUCCAGAAGAAUUUUAUUUUUUCUAGCUCUAUAAAAUAAUUUUGGGUAGUUGUUAUGGCACUGAAUAAGUAAAUUAAUUUUGGCAGACUUGUCAUUUUUACUAUGUUGACUUGGCCCACCCACAAGACAUUAAUAUUUAUCCACUUGUUAGAGAUGACAUUUGUGUGAAAAAUGUUUUUGUAAUUGUUUCUAUUUCGUUCCUGAGUUUGGUUGGCAGAUAGACUCCUGAACAUUUUAUAUUGUCUAUUAUUACUUUAAAUGGAAUUUCUCUAUCUCUUCUUGCUGGACUUUGUUGGCAAUAUAGGAAUUCCUUCCACAUUGAAGGGGAUAGGAGUAUGGUGUCUCUUUGAUCUGGAAAAUCCAUGUAAAAUUUUUUGACUCUCCCUUCAUACCUGAGAAGUCUGAAUUUUUUCUUUUUCUAUAAUGGAGUGUUCUGAGUAUCUCAUGUUAUACACAAUAGCAUAUAUGUUUUAUGCAUUUAGGAUUUACUACAUUUUUAAAGGUAUUUCAACAUUUCUAGUCUUUGUGUGUUGUGUGCUGGCUUUUGCAUUCUUUUUUGCAAAGCUUAGCUUUUCACAUAUUUGAACUUAAAAAAAUAAAUUGUGCAUAUUUAUGGUAUCAAAUGAUAAAAAUAUGUUGAUGUUAUGUAAUACUAUACAUAUAUUUUAUGUAUUUCUAAGUUUCUAAAUUUCUGUUAUCUUGCUGGCCUUCACACAUCAUCUGCAGCUCCCUCAGAUUCCCAUUUAACUUCUUAUGCCAACCUGCAAUAUAUUGAAACCUUAAUGAGGAAAAGUCAUAACGUGGAAGGGAUACUGGUAUAUAGAAAUACUGAUUUAUAUGGGUUUAUUUUAUAUCCUGCAACUUUGUAGAAGUUAUUUCAACAAGUUUUUUAGUUGAUUCUAACUGCCCCCCCUAAAAUUAAUUUUUAAUUUUUAAUCUAUGUUUCUGUGGCAAAGGAAUUGAUUUAAUGUUUGCACAAAGAAGUUAUGGCAUUUUUUUUUUAGGUUUUGUUUUUUAAUUUUUUCCCAUGGUUCCAUGAUUCAUGUUGUUUCCCUCUCCUCUCCCCCCUCCUGGAGUUGAUAAGCAAUUCCACUGGGCUAUACAUAUAUUAUCACUCAAAACCCAUUCUCCAUAUUAUUCAUUUUUGUAAUAAUCUUUUAAAACCCAAACCCCAAAUCAUAUACCCAUAUAAGCAAGUGAUAAGUUAUGUUUUCAUCCAGAUUUCUACUCCUACAGUUUUUUUUCCCCCCUACAUGUGGGCAACAUCCUUUCUCAUAAAUCUCUCAGAAUUAUCCUGGAUCAUUGCAUUGCUUUUAGUUGCAGUCAGUUACAUCUGAUGGUCCCACAAUGUUUUAGUUGCUGUGUACAAUGUUCUCUUGGUUCUGCUUAUUUUACUCUGCAUCAGUUCAUGUAGGUCUUCCUAGUUCAUAUAGAAAUCCAUUGAGAAAAAAAAAAGAAAUCCAUUGAUUCAUCAUUCCCUAUAGCACAACAGUAUUCCAUCACCAUCAUAUAUCACAAUUUGUUCAGCCAUUCUCCAACCAAGAGACAUCCCUUCAGUUUCCAAUUUCUUGCCUCCACAAAAAGCACAGCUAUAAAUAUUUUUGUACAAACAGAUCCUUCCUCAUUCUUUUUUAUCUCUUUGGGAUAUAAACCUAGUAGUGGUAUUGCUGGAUCAAAGGGCAAGCAUUCUUUUAAAAGGGAAUAUUCAUUUUUCUUCAAACUCUUACCUUCUGUCUGAGAAGUGAUUCUAAGGCAGAAGAUUCUAAGAGCAGAAAGGACUGGGCAACUAGAAUUAAAUGAUUUGCCCAGAAUCACACAGCUAGGAAAUAUUGUGAGGCCAAAUUUGAACCCAGGUCCUCCUAACUUUCAGUCUAGUGCUCUAUCCAUUGUUACUUAACUGCUCCAGUUAAGGAAUAUUCAAAAGAGAAUCAAGAAUGCUUCAAGUCAAUUUUCUAUCAGCUCUUCCUGUUGCCUCUAUUUAUAGUAUUUUUUGAUACCAGUUGGAGAAAAAAACCACUCGUUACGGAGGACAAAGCUGCUUUCUUUGUGGAUUUAAUUUGCUGCUUGUAUUGGUUGCUAAAGAAAUCCUCAAGAAUGGUGAAUGAGGCUACUACUUUUCAAUAGGCAAGCUGAUCCAACUACACGGUCCCACACCUCCCCAUUAUGUGUCAUUUCACAGGUUCAUUUUUUCCUUCUGACUUCUCUGGUCUUCUUCAAAGCUUAGUUCAAAUUCUGCCUUCUGCAAGAGGUCUUUUACUUCCUUCUGCCAUCCCCACUCAGUGACUUCCCACUCAGAUUAACUUCCAUUUGUACAAUAUAGAUCUUCUAUGAAAUAUUUAUUUGCAUGUUGUGUCCUUCAUUAGAAUGUGAACUUCUAGAAGGCAGGGACUGUAUUCUUGCUUUUUUUUUUUAACAAUGUCUGGUAUACAGUAAAUCCUUAAUAAAUGUUUAGCGACUGAGUGCUCUUGUAAAAACUUACAUUCUAAAAGAAUGACUUCCAAUGCUAUUUCUUGGUCUGUAUCUAAAUGUCUGAUAGCAGACUAACAGCAUCUUAAAAGUGCAAUGUGCUUUGUGCCAAUCCAUAAUACACAUAUCUAUACACAUACAUAUC